GAGCACGUAGGUGGGUUUGUUAGUCAGAUGUGAAAGCCUUCUGUUCAACGGAAGAAUUGCAUCUGAAACUACAAACCUUGAGUAUAGGAGGGGGGAGUGGAACUUCUGGUGGAGCGGUGAAAUGCGUAGAUAUCAGAAGGAACGCCGGCGGCGAAAGCGACUCUCUGGCCUAUUACUGACACUGAGUGUGCGAAAGCUAGGGGAGCAAACGGGAUUAGAUACCCCGGUAGUCCUAGCCGUAAACGAUGGGCACUAAGUAGAGGGGUU
rnacentral:rRNA from 1 species